GACGAACGCUGGCGGCGUGCUUAACACAUGCAAGUCGAACGGUGAUGGGUGCUUGCACCUUGAUCAGUGGCGAACGGGUGAGUAACACGUGAGCAACCUGCCCCCGACUCUGGGAUAACCCCGGGAAACCGGAGCUAAUACCGGAUAAUUCAUCCCCUCGCAUGAGGGGAUGCUGAAAGUCGGUUUACGCUGACACUUACAGAUGGGCCCGCGGCGCAUUAGCUAGUUGGUGAGGUAAUGGCUCACCAAGGCGACGAUGCGUAGCCGACCUGAGAGGGUGAGCGGCCACGCUGGGACUGAGACACGGCCCAGACUCCUACGGGAGGCAGCAGUAGGGAAUCUUCCACAAUGGACGAAAGUCUGAUGGAGCAACGCCGCGUGAGCGAUGAAGGCCUUCGGGUCGUAAAGCUCUGUUGUUAGGGAAGAACAAGUAUCGGAGUAACUGCCGGUACCUUGACGGUACCUAACCAGAAAGCCACGGCUAACUACGUGCCAGCAGCCGCAGUAAAAC
rnacentral:rRNA from 1 species